GGCCACCAAUAUAACUCACGAAGGUCUUGGUACAUCUUAUUUCCACCAGGGUGCAUAGCAUAAGGCUACUAUACGCCUCUCGCAGUAUAGGCUGCCUCAAAUCAGUAUCCUUUGGUACACAGAUCCUCUCCCAGAAACAGAGCACCCUUUCACUAAUCAGCCUAAAAUCCACAGUAUCCCUACUCUCAACUUGCUAGAA
rnacentral:lncRNA from 1 species